rnacentral:rRNA from 1 species
UACGUAGGGUGCAGGCGUUAAUCGGAAUUACUGGGCGUAAAGGGCGUGCAGGCGGUUUGUUAAGUGCAGGGUGAAAGCUCCCGGCUCAACUGGGAGAGGUCCUUGCAUACUGGCGAACUCGAGGGAGGCAGAGGAAAGUGGAAUUCCAGGUGUAGCGGUGAAAUGCGUAGAUAUCUGGAGGAACACCGGUGGCGAAGGCGGCAUCCUGGACCGGCAUUGACGCUGAGGCGCGAAAGCCAGGGGAGCAAACGGG